UUGCAGGGCGGCAGCUAUAAUGCAGUCGAACGCUUCUUUCCUCCCGAGUGCUUGCACUCAAUUGGAAAGAGGAGUGGCGGACGGGUGAGUAACACGUGGGUAACCUACCCAUCAUAGGGGGAUAACACUUGGAAACAGGUGCUAAUACCGCACAACAGUUUAUGCCGCAAGGCACAAGAGUGAAAGGCGCUUUCGGGUGUCGCUGAUGGAUGGACCCGCGGUGCAUUAGCUAGUUGGUGAGGUAACGGCUCACCAAGGCCACGAUGCAUAACCGACCUGAGAGGGUGAUCGGCCACACUGGGACUGAGACACGGCCCAGACUCCUACAGGAGGCAGCAGUAGGGAAUCUUCGGCAAUGGACGAAAGUCUGACCGAACAACGCCUCGUGAGUGAAGAAGGUUUUCGGAUCGUAAAACUCUGUUGUUAGAGAAGAACAAGGACGUUAUAACUGAACGUCCCCUGACGGUAUCUAACCAGAAAGCCACGGCUAACUACGUGCCAGCAGCCGCGGUAAUACGUAGGUGGCAAGCGUUGUCCGGAUUUAUUGGGCGUAAAGCGAGCGCAGGCGGUUUCUUAAGUCUGAUGUGAAAGCCCCCGGCUCAACCGGGGGAGGGUCAUUGGUAAACUGGGAAGACUUGUAGUGCACAAGAGGAGAGUGGAAUUCCAUGUUGUAGCGGUGGAAAUGCGUAGAUAUAUGGGAGGAACACCAGUGGGCGAAGGCGGCUCUCUGGGUCUGUAACUGAACGCUGAGGCUCGAAAGGCGUGGAGGAGCAAACAGGGAUUAGAUACCCCGGGUAGUCCACGCCCGUAAACGAUGAGUGCUAAGUGUUUGGAAGGGUUUCCGCCCCUUCAUUGCUGCAGCCAAACGCAUUAA
rnacentral:rRNA from 1 species